rnacentral:rRNA from 1 species
GACGAACGCUGGCGGCGUGCUUAACACAUGCAAGUCGAACGGAAAGGCCCUGCUUUUGUGGGGUGCUCGAGUGGCGAACGGGUGAGUAACACGUGAGUAACCUGCCCUUGACUUUGGGAUAACUUCAGGAAACUGGGGCUAAUACCGGAUAGGAGCUCCUGCUGCAUGGUGGGGGUUGGAAAGUUUCGGCGGUUGGGGAUGGACUCGCGGCUUAUCAGCUUGUUGGUGGGGUAGUGGCUUACCAAGGCUUUGACGGGUAGCCGGCCUGAGAGGGUGACCGGCCACAUUGGGACUGAGAUACGGCCCAGACUCCUACGGGAGGAAGCAGUGGGGAAUAUGGCACAAUGGGCGGAAGCCUGAUGCAGCAACGCCGCGUGCGGGAUGACGGCCUUCGGGUUGUAAACCGCUUUCGCCUGUGACGAAGCGUGAGUGACGGUAAUGGGUAAAGAAGCACCGGCUAACUACGU